rnacentral:rRNA from 1 species
AUUGAACGCUGGCGGCAUGCCUUACACAUGCAAGUCGAACGGCAGCACGGGGGCAACCCUGGUGGCGAGUGGCGAACGGGUGAGUAAUACAUCGGAACGUGCCCAGUAGUGGGGGAUAGCUCGGCGAAAGCCGGAUUAAUACCGCAUACGACCUACGGGUGAAAGCGGGGGAUCGCAAGACCUCGCGCUAUUGGAGCGGCCGAUGUCAGAUUAGGUUGUUGGUGGGGUAAAGGCCACCAAGCCGACGAUCUGUAGCUGGUCUGAGAGGACGACCAGCCACACUGGGACUGAGACACGGCCCAGACUCCUACGGGAGGCAGCAGUGGGGAAUUUUGGACAAUGGGCGAAAGCCUGACGCAGCGACGCCGCGUGAGGGAUGACGGCCU